rnacentral:rRNA from 1 species
UACGUAGGGGGCAAGCGUUGUCCGGAAUUAUUGGGCGUAAAGGGCGCGUAGGCGGCCUUCUAAGUCGAACGUGAAAUCCCUGGGCUCAACCCAGGAACUGCGUCCGAUACUGGAAGGCUUGAAUCCGGGAGAGGGAUGCGGAAUUCCAGGUGUAGCGGUGAAAUGCGUAGAUAUCUGGAGGAACACCGGUGGCGAAGGCGGCAUCCUGGACCGGUAUUGACGCUGAGGCGCGAAAGCCAGGGGAGCAAACGGG